rnacentral:misc_RNA from 1 species
CAUCGAUGUCGGAUGCCCGGUUCGUAUUCUGCAAGGCGCGCAGGACCCGGACGUGCCGUGGCGUCACGCCUUCGCGCUGACCCAUUGCCUGCCCAGCGACGAUGUGGUGCUGACGCUGGUUCAGGAUGGCGACCAUCGCCUGUCCCGGCCGCAGGACAUCGCGCGCAUACUGAGUGCGGUGAGCGAAUUGUCGAACGGAUAGGCG